GACGAACGCUGGCGGCGCGCUUAACACAUGCAAGUCGAACGGAAAGGCCUGCUUUCCCUUGUGGAUUGCGGGUACUCGAGUGGCGAACGGGUGAGUAACACGUGAGUGAUCUGCCCCCAACUUGGGUAUAAGCCUGUGAAACUGGGUCUAAUUCCCGAUAGUACUGCAGGGUGGUGCCUGUGGUGGAAAACGAUUUUCUAGUUGUUGGGGAUGAGCUCGCGGCCUAUCAGCUUGUUGGUGGGGUAAUGGGCUACCAAGGCGGCGACGGGUAGCCGGCCUGAGAGGGUGGACGGGCACAUUGGGACUGAGAUACGGCCCAGACUCCUACGGGAGGCAGCAGUGGGGAAUAUGACACAAUGGGCGGAAGCCUGAUGCAGCGACGCCGCGUGGGGGAUGACGGACUUCGGGUUGUAAACUCCUUUCGACCGCGAGGAAGCCACCUGGAUGGAAGGGUGGUGACGGUAGUGGUAGAAGAAGCACCGGCUAACUACGUG
rnacentral:rRNA from 1 species